rnacentral:rRNA from 1 species
GAGGCAGCAGCAAGGAAUUUUCGGCAAUGGGCUAACGCCUGACCGAGCAACGCCGCGUGGAGGAUGACGGCCUUCGGGUUGUAAACUCCUUUUCUACGGGAAGAAAUGGACGGUACCGUGGGAAUAAGCCCCGGCUAACUCUGUGCCAGCAGCCGCGGUAAUACAGAGGGGGCAAGCGUUAUCCGGAUUGACUGGGCGUAAAGCGUGUGUAGGCGGCAAGGCAGGUGAGGUGGUACAUUUCCCGGCUUAACUGGGUAGCGCCAUUUCAAACCGCCUGGCUCGAGCAAUGCAGAGGUCGGUGGAAUUGCCCGUGUAGCAGUGAAAUGCGUAGAGAUGGGCAGGAACACCAAGGGCGCAAGCAGCCGACUGGGCAUUGGCUGACGCUGAGGCACGACAGCGUGGGGAGCAAACAGGAUUAGAUACCCUGGUAGUCCACGCCGUAAACGAUGUGUGCUCGCGCCGUGGCGGUUACCCAUACUGCUGGGGCGCUUAGCAAACGCGGUAAGCACACCGCCUGGGAA